AUUGCAGAAAUCAAACCAAGUUUGGAGUUGUCCUGUCUGAUUUGGAGAGUCAUUAUUCUUGGUCUUCGCUCUUAGAGGCCACUGAUGAAGAACAGGCGGUGACUGGGAUGAAUGCUGGUCAGAGAGGAGAAUCUUCUUUCCCCUAAACUGAUGCAGCACUGGUUUUAAAGGAGGACGCUGCCCUGGAUGAUGUAGAAGAUGUCACAUGCUGUGCUGAUGGGGUUUCUUCAUGAUUACAUCAGUUAUGCUAAAGAGAUCAUGAAAAUUGACUGUGAUGCAUGAUCUGUAUUCAUGGACUAUGAAACAAACUGUAAGUGUAUAAUUUGUUAAAAAAAAAAAAAAAGUUAAAUGCUUUUUCUGUGUUGUUUAGUAGAAGAGUUUACACUCUGUCAUUCAUACACCUGCUCACAUUCUUU